GCUGGGCAUGGUGGCGCACGCCUGUAAUCCCAGCUACUUGGGGGACUGAGGUGGGAGGAUCACUUGAGCCCAGGAAGUCGAGGCUGCAGUGAGCUGAGAUCAUGCCACUGUACUCCAGCCUGGGUGACAAAGUGAGACUCUGUCUCAA
ensembl:misc_RNA Metazoa_SRP Metazoan signal recognition particle RNA